UUAGCCUCUUCCUCAUGAAAAUUACGAUAUCUAUCCAUAGACUGCAAAAUAAAAAGAAAGUUGUUCAACAAAAUUGAGUCUUGCCUAUGUUAUUAACAUAUGUCAAGUUGAAGUCCAACCAUCCCUCCAAAGUCCAAACCCCAAUAUUUACAAAAGCAGAUGAAGAAGAGUGAUCGUGGGCACAAGAAGGGGAAAAGGACAGAGGAAAGAAGAAAGAGGAAACACUAUCCUCAAAUCCAACAACAUUGGUGUUGAAGGUGAACAUGCAUUGCGAAAGAUGUGCAUCCAGAAUAGCCAAAUGCGUUCACGGUUUCUAAGAUUCAACUCUAAUAUUUGAAAACUGUUGUAACCAUGUAACCAUUAUCCAACAAUUAUCUCCCAUACCCGUUGCACACUUGAGUUUGUUAAUGGUCAGAGCUCUAUAUAAAGUGUAUGUUGCGCUGCUCUGAUAGGUCACCGAAUCUGCUCCUCCUUUCAUAUACUAAUAUCAUCGAGUACGAGUGAACAAGGGUUUGGAACCAUAAUCAGUUACGAAGUUGCCGUGGAACAAAAUCGUCACCCCCACGAACGUUCAAAACAACAGUAGCAAUGGCCGGAGGUUGGUCAUGUCUCCUUUAGCUUUUGCUGAUCGUUUAGACCUUUUUUAUUAUGUUUUAUAUUUGGUAUCAGAGCUUGUUUGUACCUCUGCCUUGCUUCUUGGGUUGUUCCUAUUGUGCAUUUACGGAAUUGAUUUUCUGAGUAUAUGGGUGUUAUGUUUUUAGCCUCCUUAAUUCGAAAUAA